rnacentral:rRNA from 1 species
UGUUUCGGCAAGGGGGUCAUCCCGACUUACCAACCCGAUGCAAACUGCGAAUACCGGAGAAUGUUAUCACGGGAGACACACGGCGGGUGCUAACGUCCGUCGUGAAGAGGGAAACAACCCAGACCGCCAGCUAAGGUCCCAAAGUCAUGGUUAAGUGGGAAACGAUGUGGGAAGGCCCAGACAGCCAGGAUGUUGGCUUAGAAGCAGCCAUCAUUUAAAGAAAGCGUAAUAGCUCACUGGUCGAGUCGGCCUGCGCGGAAGAUGUAACGGGGCUAAACCAUGCACCGAAGCUGCGGCAGCGACACUAUGUGUUGUUGGGUAGGGGAGCGU